ensembl:lncRNA
AACAAAUGAAGCAUCACUUCCCAUUAGGAAGUAAACUAUUGUUUGGUAGGAUGAAGCACAAGAUUUCCAAAACUGCCAGAAGUCAUACUGCAGAUGCAGUCUUCUCCCCAGGCUGAACAGAUCCAGGCUACUCAGCUUCUCCUCAUAGGGGAGAUACUCCAGGCCAUUUGUCAUCUCUGUGGCCCUCCACUGGAGUCCUUCUAGGAGAUUCCUGUCUUUUUUGACCUGGGGAGCCCAGAACUGGACACACUAUCCUAAAUGUGGCCUCACCCUGGCAGAGCAGAGGGGGAGAAUCACCUCCCUUGACCUGCUGGCCACACUCUUUGAUGCACCCCAGGAUCCUAUUGGCCUUCUUGGACACAGGGACACACUUCUGGAUCAUGGCCAACCUUUUGUCCACCAGAGCUCAUCUGCAGCAGGUUUGAAAAGCCAUCUUACUAACUCCUGGAGCUGAGGCACCUCAUGGACAGCAGCGUGGUUUUGCUGCUAAGAAGGCUAACAUGACUCGGGCUGCAUUAGGCCAAGUCACAGCAGUAGGGUGAUCCUGCCCUCGUUCAUCACUGGUGAGACUAUACCCAACUGCUGAGUCCAAUUCUGGGAUGCUCCAUACAAGAGAAGCAUGGACAUACUGGAAAGAGCCCAGCAAUGGGAGAUGAAGACUUCUGAGAGACUGUAACAUCUUUCAAUGCACACAAAUACCAGAAGAAAAAAGGAUGCAGAUGAUGUAGCCAGG